GUGUCCGCCGAGACGCGUCAGCCGCCACAGCCGUCGUCGUCGCGGGGUCCCUCCCCUCCGGCGGCCCGAGCCCCGCGGGGAGCGGCGCGGAGGGGAUGAGGCGAGCCUCGUCGCACCCACCGUAGCGGCGCGGCCGCCUCCGCCAUGAAACGGAAGAGCUUGGCGGAGGUCCGGCGCCGCGCGGCUCCGGCGCCGCCGGAUCUGAAGAGAACUCGGGGAGCGGCGGCGCGAGCGGCGCGAGGCGAGGCGGCGAGGCGGCAGGCGCCCCCCGCCGGGACGGAGAUCUGCCUGAGGAUCGCGGAUCGCCUUUAUUUUGCAAUUCUCUGCCAAAACCCAAAGAGUGGAGCUGCAGAUACCCAUUAUUUCUGCAUAGAUGAUGAGCUUGUAUAUGAGAACUUCUAUGCAGACUUUGGACCACUUAAUCUGGCAAUGGUCUACAGAUACUGCUGCAAACUAAAUAAGAAAUUGAAGUCAUUUUCAUUGAUAAGGAAGAAAAUAGUUCAUUAUACUGGCUUUGAUCAGAAAAAACAAGCAAAUGCUGCAUUCCUCAUAGGCUCCUACACAAUAAUAUACCUGAGAGAAUCCCCAGAAGAUGUCUACAGGCUUUUAUUGGCUGGAAGUGUUUCAUAUCUUCCUUUCAGGGAUGCUUCCUUUGGUACUUGCAGCUUUCAUCUGACAUUGCUGGACUGUUUUCAUGCAAUAAACAAGGCUUUGCAGUAUGGAUUCCUGGAUUUCAACACAUUUGAUGUAAAUGAAUAUGAGCAUUAUGAAAGAGCAGAAAAUGGAGAUUUUAACUGGAUAAUACCAAACAAAUUCAUUGCCUUCAGUGGACCUCAUUCAAGAAGUAAAAUUGAAAAUGGCUAUCCUCACCAUGCUCCAGAGGCUUAUUUCCCAUACUUCAGGAAACAUAAGGUCACUACUAUAAUACGCCUUAACAGAAAACUGUAUGAUGCCAAACGAUUCACAGAUGCUGGAUUUGAGCAUUUUGACCUCUUCUUUGCUGAUGGAAGCACACCUAGUGAUACUAUAGUUAAAUCAUUUCUAAAUAUUUGUGAAAAUGCAGAAGGUGUUAUAGCUGUUCACUGCAAAGCUGGCCUUGGACGAACUGGAACACUUAUUGCCUGUUACGUUAUGAAGCAUUAUCGAAUGACAGCUGCUGAAGCUAUUGGCUGGAUAAGAAUAAAUAGACCUGGUUCAGUGAUUGGACCACAACAGCACUUCCUGGUGGACAAACAGGCAGAACUUUGGACAGAAGGGGAUAUUUUCCGUGCAAAGCUGAAAGGAAACCAUAAAAUUGCUGUCACAAGAAUCCUGUCAGGAGUGGACGAUAUUUCAAUUAAUGACAGGAGAAACAGGAGAACCAUCCGAAAUGACAUUGAACUGUACAGUGAUGAAGAUGAAACAAACUGUUUAACACAAGGUGACAAGCUUCGUGCUCUGAAAAGCAGAAGGCAAUCAAAAGUUCCAACUGUGUCUGCACUAACAGUAAUUCUGCAGUCCAGUGUUCAGAAAAAUAAAACCUCUGAACCUAGCAUUUCUGACAGUAGAGACAUUACUAAAAGAACUACCAGGUCUGCUGCAAGAAAAAACAGUUUAAAAAGUUUAUUUUAAUUUCUUGAAGCUUGUGCAGUUUGCCUUACCUCAUAGCGCUCAAAUGACUGACCUGUUCCAGAUCAAGUGGAUUACAUGCAGCCAAUCCAUCCCAAGGACUAGAACAGUAUUGCGUUAAAUUUCAAAUGAGCAACCAGUUUUGAAGAGGAUAUUCAGAAACAAAGGGGAUAUGACUAGAGAGGACUUGAUGCAAUUCAAGGAAGAUUACUCUGGUUCCAUUUUUCGUCAAAGGAGAAACAGAAGACUCUCCUCGCUACUUGUAGAAUAAAAUGAACUAUCACCGUGCUUGGUAGACACCUUUCUAAUGUGCUAACUCUUCCUCAGACAAAACCAACAAAAUCUGUGUACUUUCAGACUCAGGUGUACAUGCUUAAGCUCCCUAUUAUAAAGAGGGCUUGCUAGCAUGUAUGAUGCACGUGUACGAAUUGUGAUGGCAAUCAACGUAGCUGCUGACAACAAUAACUGAAAAGACUGGGAGCUUUUAAAUACAUAAAUCUCUGUCAUCCAUUCAGACUGGGCUUAAGUAUCCACUUAAGACUGUAAAUUAAUCACUAAAGCUUUUUUCUUACAGUAUUGGUACUCUCCUGUGUUAAUGGGCUAUUCUUUCUUAUUUUGUAUGAGGUUUUAUAUGAAGCUAAGUACUGAGUACACAAAGCAACUAUAGUCCACUGAAGAGUGCUUUAUUUUCAAAGGUUUUGUGGUUUGUUUGUUCAGUUUGAAAAAGAAAACAACUAGGCAAUUACCUUCAUAGACUAGAAUCAUAGCAUGGUUUGGGCUGGAAAAAAAACUUAAAGGUCAUCUAGUUACAAUCCCUCUGACAUGUGCAGGGACAUUCUACUGGACCAGGUUGCUCAAAGCCUCACAGUCUUGAACACUUCCAGGGAUGGGCUAGCCACGACUUCUGUAAGCAGCCUGUUUCAGUAUCUCAGCACUCUUACAGUCAGGUUGUUUUUUUUUCCUGACAUCUACCUUUUUUUUUUCAGUGUGACACCAUAACUCCUUUUCCUAUCACUACACUCCAUGAUAAAGAGCCACUCAUCUUUCUUGUAGGCCCCAUUUUAAAUGCCGAAAGCCUCCCCAGAGGCAAUGCCUCUCGCUUUCCCUCUCCCUCUCUUCCAGGCAGAACCUCCCAAACUCUCUCAGCCUGUCCUCAUAGAGGAGGUGCUCCAGCCCUUAGAUCAUCUUCAUGGCACUCCUCUUGACCUGUUGGAGCAGGUCUAUGUCUUUCUUACACUGUAGACCCGAGAGCUGAAGACAGUACUCCAGGUGAGGUCUAGUGAGAGUGGAGCAGAGGGGCAAAAUCACAGGUAUUCUGAGUUGACACUGUACAAAUGUUUACUUGUUUUUAAUUGUUACAUAUUUUUACUUGAUUACAACCAGUGGCUCUUUUAAUUAGUUGUAAUUGCUUUAAAUCUGGUAUGAUUUUAAGGGAGAGGUAAAAGAGCUUCCCAUUUAAAACAGUGCAGUCAUAUUGAAAUGUCAUUACUGUUUCUUCUGCUAUCUUCAAAUCUGUUAGGUGAAAUGGUAGAUUACAGUAUCCCAAAUAUAAGCAUUUUUCCUAAGUUUUAGUGGUGUGCUUGAUAACAUGUGGAUGUCACUGGUUUUUAGCUUUGAGACAAUUAAGGGGUGUAGCAUACAAAAAAAGGGAAAAUAAGCUUGCUGUGCAACUGAUACUGGUAAUGGAACUCAGGGGCAGGUAUAGAUUUUAACAUUCAGUUAACGGUUCAAAAAAAGAGCUUACCUCUGCUAAAAAAAGUAGUGUGAUAUUUAGAGGAAUCUGACUGAGACUGAAAUUUUCAUCCACUACAAGAAUGUCUUCAGACACUGAUGGCGUUUUUUUCCCUACCAAUUUUUGUAUUCCGAGAUCUCAAAGCUGGCUUUGCAGCUCAGUUUGUCUGUCAUCUGAAGUUUACAGCUGCAUAUCCCUCAGAUGAGGACUGUUACCACAUAGCCUUAAAUAUGCGACAGCUGAUUUAGUGACUCUCAAGACAUAAAGUAAAAGAAACUGAGAGAUCUGGAGUGUUAGCAAUGGAAUAACUGAAGUUUUUAAAGGUACAGAUUACCUGUGCAAGACGGAUAAUUUUCUGGAUGUAAAUGAGCAGGUUCCAGGACUAGUGUUAAAAUAUAUUCCUUUAAGUUAAAAUUAAGCUUUCUGUUAAGCUGGGGAUUUUUGAAUGCAAAUAUAAAUAAUCACAUAUUGACUUGAAAACUUCCUGUAGCAGGAGCAUUAUGACUUGGAAAAGAAGCAGGAUGUGAAGGGCUAGUAACCUUACAUCCCUGAAUUUGGAAUAGCCUGAAUUUGCAAAUAUAAAUCCAAAGAAAACAGAAGAGAGUAGUGUGGUGUAAAAUAAAGGACCAUUGAGCACCUAAAUGAGAGGGACAGAACUCACCCUGGUACAGCAAUUAAACUUUCUUCUAGGUGAUUGGAUUUGGUUUGUUGGUUUUCUUUUUGACAUAGGUCACUUGCCCAAAAGCUGAAGCAGAGGUAACCACAAUAAUAGGUACAUUGUGCAAAUAUUAAUCUUUAUUUAUUAACAUUUUUUUUAUCCUAGAGAGCACAAGAGAUGAAAGUAGUGAGGUGAGAGGGGUGUGAACCAAAUCAGGAAAGAUUUAGUAAUAUUACUGUGUUUGGCUCUCAGCCAGUCUUCCUCUUUUAGCCUCUUUGUUUUUAACCUGAAAACAAUCAAGCCUAUUUCACACCCCUUCUAAAUUCCAGAUUGGAAUUUGCCUUUUGAGAUGCUAAUUUUUAAAGUAGCCAGCAGAGCCAUUCCAGGUUCAUCAGAAGUAAAUCUGCAUAAAACAAGUGUUCACACACACAAAACAGCUCUCACUGCGUGUUUGGCAUGAGUGUGUAUCAGGAUACUCUGGCUAUCCCCCAGUAUCUUAGUGACGAACACAGUCAUGUGAAAGGGAUUGUACAUCUGAACGCUGCAAGCAGCCUUUCGUGGAAAAAUGAACUCAUUACCUCACUGUGUCCCAAUUGACUGUAUUGUUUAGUUUGUUCUUCUAAAGUUUUAGUUCUUCGUGUAGCAUUUUUACUAUAUCAUACCAAAGCUGUCUUAAGGAUGAGAAUGAAAAGUGGGCAUGGGUGAGGGAGUCCUUGGUUUCUAAUCUUCAAAUUGUGAAGUAUUUCGUGCCAAAAGGGGAACAUUUGGUGGCAGCUGCCACAGUCUUGUACCGCAGAGCGGCCAAAGGAAGUUACCUCUGCUGUUAUCAGUUACGAUUUUUUCCUUGGAAGUUAUUUCAUCUCUGUCAAGUAUACGACAGAUGGAUUCUCCCCUGAUCUCUAUUAAAUAAAGUAUGCAACAUAACUCAAAAGCUGUAAUAUCUUGGGUCAGAUUGCUAGCUUCCAUUACAGCAUCGAUAACUUCUCAGAUGUUAGCCCACUCCUUGUCUUUGCACUUGUGUGACCACAGAAAAUGCUGGUGAUUAAAACGAAGAACCAACCAACCCACCAAGAUUUGACAAGACUCCUGUAUUAAAAUGUGGGGCAAGGAGGGGGGAAAAAGGCAAGAAAACAAGACAAACAAAUGGAACAAACCCAGAAAACAUGAUGCUGACCAGUUUGUUGCACUGCGGUUUUUAUAUAUUAGUGGUUUGCAGACUGUCUUGCAUAAACUCAUGUACAGACUAUCAAGGUCUAAGAAUUUCUUGACUAAUCAGUACUGUUCAUCCUGAUUAUUUUUAAAUUGUAUAUUUCUAUUCAUAUUUUUUUAACUUGGAUUGACAGAGUGGGAGUUUAUUUUGUUGGAGGUAUUUUUAAGAUAAAGCUUCAUAUUAUAAUACUAA